AAGACUAUAGACCUGCGGAGUACCUGCGGAGGGAUCAUCAUUGAAAACAUAACAAGACCCUUGGUUGGGGGGUUGUGUGUGGGGGGAGCUUGCUUCUCUCUCGUGCGCCUUCUUUCCUUGGGCAACCAACAAACAACAUACAUGACUAGGGAAAUUGACUUGGCCUGGGAAAAAGAGAGAGAGAAAAGUUCUUGCCUGAUAAGCAGUAGCCUAUGAUUUGGAAAGACAAUACAACUUUUA
rnacentral:misc_RNA from 1 species